rnacentral:ncRNA from 1 species
GAAAAGGCAAGACACGCGAAAACGUGUUACGCAAAACCACCGGUCUAAGGGUUAAUGCAAUAAUAUUGCAUUUUUCUAUGACAGCGGAGUUACCG